AUAAACUCAAUAAUUAAACCCAAAAAAUUAAACAAUUUUUUAAAUAUUAAUACGGUUAAUUAUAUUCUUAUAAAAAAAUAUAAAAAAAAAAUCUCUCUCAUCUCAAUCGUUUCAUUCUCAUACAGAUGGACUUUUCACUCUUCCCUUUAAUAUGUACAAAUUCCCGACUGCCUACAAACCUGCAAAGUCGUUAACAUAAAAAAAAAUAUGUAUAAAUUCUCGAUUGCCUACAAACCCGCCAAGUCAUUCAGUCACGAUUGAAGGCAUAAAUUCCGUCGCUUCAGUUGCUUGCAAAAUGUUUUUCGCUGAUUUGCGAUUGGAGAUGAAUCCGUCCCAGCACCCCGCCGCCACAACUAGCCCCAAGCUCCGUAGAUCUGACUCCAGAUUUUUUUCAGUUAGUAUCGGUUAGUAUGUUGAAUUUAUUUAUUUGAGUAAUAAUAACUUUUUUUUGGGGAAUUUUCUAUUUUUGGGAUAUACAGUUUGGAUUUUUGUUGUAAAGUUUGGACUUUGUGUUGAUCAGAUUAGCUUACUUACAGUUACAGCGAUAGAGAGAAAAUCAAUCUGGAAGGAGAGAAUGAAUGAGUAUGAAAGGAAGGGGUUUUUGGGCGUUGGUUUCGUUCUUUUGUGUUUUGACUUUUAUUCGCAAAAGCGGUGAAGUGAAAUCUUUUUAUUAGAACAUAUAUAUAAAUAUAAAUUGUAUUAUAUUAUAUAUGAAAACUUAUGUAUGACAGUCUGGAACUUGGGACCCUUUGGGAAAACUCCAAAAACUCCAUUAAAUUACAUAAGAGAACCGUCUGUAUGUGCAUUGGGUAUAUGUAUUUGUUUUGACACUUCAAUUAAAAAAUAAAUAAAGAAAUUUUUUGGGUUUGCUACUACUCUUGAUGACUAUAUUAUUGGCCCAUGAUUAGAGUUUGUUAAUGCAAAUGAUGAUUGGUCUCUAAAGUUUGUCAGAUUGGGAGUGUAUCAAUGAUACAACCAUUAUUUACAGGAAUAAUCUUUCAGUUUCUGAGCGCUCCAUGUACCCAACUGCCUAUACAUUUGACAAAGUAUUUAGCUUUGAUUCUUCCACAAGGCAGGUGUAUCAAGAAGGAGCCAAGAAUGUUGCUCUUUCAGUUGUCGGUGGUAUAAAUGGCGAGUACAGGACAAGCGCAUAGCACCUUUUUCCUUUUGAUUUUUUUCCCUUUGCUAUUGUGUCAUGAACUUUGCUUGAACACUGUUAUUGAAAAUAGAUAAGCUUAUUUUAUGAAACUCGCUCUGCAGCGAGCAUUUUCGCAUAAGGACAAACAAGCAGUAGAAAGACAUACACCAUGAGUGGUAUCACUGAGUAUACAGUAGCAGAUAUAUAUAUGAUUACGUAGAGAAGCAUAAUGAAAAAGAUUAUGUUAUGAAGCUUUCUGCCAUGGAGAUCUACAAUGAAUCUGUGAGAGACCUACUAAGUGCAAAUAACACACUUAGACUUCUCGAUGAUCCGGAGAGAGGGACCAUCGUUGAAACUUGAAAGGCUGACAGAGGAAACACUAAGGGACCGGAACCAUUUCAAAGAACUCUCUGUUUGUGAAGCUCAAAGACAAAUAGGUGAGACAUCACUUAAUGAAGCUAGCUCAAGUCGCAUCAGAUUAUUCGACUGGUAUGACUGCAUGUUAUCACCUCAAAGUUCAUAUCUCACCACCACUUGAUAACUACUUUUUCUUGCAUCACAAUAUUAUGAUGUGGUUUUUUCUGAGAUAAUUGAAAGCUCAACUCGCGAGUUUUUAGAAAGAGACUCUUUUUAGGUAGAAUCAAUUCACCAUUCAAGCAGCUGAACCAAUGGAGAAUUAGGAAGAAGUUUCACAAUACUCUUUUUAGUUUUUCUAAUAAUAUUCCAUAUAUUAAGACUUUUUUUAAAUAAUUUUUUCUUUUAUUUUAAGAUAGCACAUGUUCUUUAAUUUUUUUUUUUGCUUUAAAUUUUAGCAAACUUAUAUCUUGUUGCUCUUUUUUUUUUUUUUUUUUUGAGUCAAAGUGAAAAUUUUAUUUAAACACUUUCAGCCAUUACAAUAGACUUGAAACCAGCAGAGACAUUAUGCUGAUUAAAAACACAAUCUGACGAAAAACAAGACUCUCUAGCAAGACAAUGAGCAGCCCUAUUUGCAGAUCGUUUAACAAAUUUUAACGAAACAUUAUUCAAAGACGAAAUUAAAGCCCGACAAUCCCCAACAAGUAAUCCAAACUGAGAAGGCAUUAAAAUUGAGCUAUUAAUAGCUUGUACCACCACCAGAGCAUCAGUUUCAAUUACGACAUUGGACCAUUGCUUUCUUUCUAUCCAACUCAAGGCCUCCUUAAUGCCAAUUGUCUCGGCAAUUUCUGGUUUAACCACUCCAAACCGAGAAGCAGAAAUGGCUUCAAGAAGCAUUCCACUCACAUACCCAAUUAAUAUCUUGUUGCUCUUAAUUUUCUAUAAAUAAGUAAUAAAUAUUAUUUUCUUAUGAUUUAUAUAUACCCAAUUAUAUUUUACUAACCAAAUAUAAUAGAACAAAUAUUACUUUAAUACAACAAAUCAUUCACAUAAUCCUUUAGUUACAGAAAUCUAAAUAAAAAUAAAGAACUAAACUUUAAAUAAAACUAAUAUUUACGUGCCUCGGCACGUAACUUCUAUAAAACAGGGUGGGCUUAGAAUGCAUUUAAUGAAAAUGCUAAACUCAAGGUGAAACAGAAAGAGGAUGAGAAGCUGUGGAAUGGCUUAGAAUCUAAAUUUCUUACGAAAACACUACGAUCAACUCACUGAAACUUUAAAGCAAUUAGCCAGUCAAGUUCAUGAUGGUACAUACAUUAUGGAUAUAUAUACAAUAUAUUUGGAGCUCUAUUUUUCUAUUCUGUUUUUAUUACGAGUUUAAUGUUAUUGAAAGGAAAAGAAUGCUAAUUGUAGUUUCCUUCUUUUAAUAGCUGAGAAAGAUAAGGAGUUAUUUGAAGGCAAACUGUCUGCAAAUGCAAAUGUUCUUGAUGAUUUGAAUCAGCAAAUGAAUUAAUUUGUUGCAAAAUCAUCCAAUAUAGGUUAUGAUACCACUGAUUUUGUAAAUUAUUGGACGAAUUUUUAAUAUUCUCUUAAUUAUUGCUACUAUAUAUUUGUGUUUGUUGGGGGAAUAACUUCCAUGGUUGUUUUUAUCCUAUUUCAUGAUUGGAUUAGAUGUAAUUAGAAUAUUUAUGAUCAACUUUCUUCUGCUAUAUAUCUUUGCCAAAGUAUCAUUUUUUUUCUUUUUAGUUUUUGCUUGCUUUAGAUGGAAACUAGGAAGGUGAAAGUUUCCUUUAAUUUUUGAUUAUUUAUUUCUGUAUAACCCACUAAUUAAUAUUGUUUGUAUUAUAGAGGGAGUAAGAGAAGAAUCACAUCUUUUAGUUUUAUAAGAUUUGUUUUUGUAUUAGUCACAAUGGUGUUUUUUUGAUAUAGAUUCUUGGAUAAGAGUCAUUAGACAUAAUUUUUUGAGUAUUUCAUUUCAAAUUGAAGAAAGUAGACUACAUCAAUGAUGACUCUGUUGGCUUAAAAGAAACAGUGUGUUGAAGCAUAAUAUUGGAACUUGAAAAGCUUGUCCCUUCAAUCUAGCUGCACGAAAGAAAUGUCUCGGCAGUAAGAAAUGGUACCACUUGGGGAGGAACUUGCUACCUUGCACCUCGUACCAGAGCCAUCAUGGCAAAUGCUUAUGGGGAAAAAUAUUAGACUAUUGGUAUUUUAUCCACAAUUUACUUUAUUCAACUUUUUUUCAAUCUAAAACCCAUGUACCUGUAUGCUUUGAGGACACUUAUAUGACAUGCUGUCAUUUUCAUUCCAACAUUGAAUAUAAUAAAUUCUCAAA